UACGGAGGGGGCUAGCGUUGUUCGGAAUUACUGGGCGUAAAGGGCGCGUAGGCGGCGUGACAAGUCACUUGUGAAAUCUCCGGGCUUAACUCGGAACGGUCAAGUGAUACUGUCGUGCUAGAGUACAGAAGGGGCAACUGGAAUUCUCGGUGUAGCGGUGAAAUGCGUAGAUAUCGAGAGGAACACCUGCGGCGAAGGCGGGUUGCUGGGCUGAUACUGACGCUGGAGGCGCGAAAGCUAGGGGAGCGAACGGG
rnacentral:rRNA from 1 species